GUCUGAUGUGAAAGCCCUGGGCUCAACCCAGGAAGUGCACUGGAUACUGGCAGACUUGAAUACGGGAGAGGGUAGUGGAAUUCCUAGUGUAGGAGUGAAAUCCGUAGAUAUUAGGAGGAACACCGGUGGCGAAGGCGGCUACCUGGACCGAUAUUGACGCUGAGACGCGAAAGCGUGGGUAGCAAACAGGAUUAGAUACCCUGGUAGUCCACGCCGUAAACGAUGAGAACUAGGUGUUGCGGGUAUUGACCCCUGCAGUGCCGCAGCUAACGCAUUAAGUUCUCCGCCUGGGAAGUACGGUCGCAAGACUAAAACUCAAAGGAAUUGACG
rnacentral:rRNA from 1 species